CACGAACCGGACAUCACUAUUGGCUAAUGUUGCUGCUAGUGUUUAUGCACUAUUAAGUGUGUAUAUUGGUUUGUAGCCAGGUUGUGUUUAGGAUUGGCGCCACGUUGCUGUUGGGUACAGGCUGUCUUUCACUCCAGUCUGUGUAUGCGCUGAUGGAACACCUGCAUAUUUGCAGCUUGUUGCUUUUGGAUAAAACUGCAAGUAACUGAACCUGUGUGUUUAACAAUCUACUUCUGGGUAUGUAUAUCUAGUCCCUCGAGCAUUAUUUGGAUUGGUGUCUCUGACUGAUUUGUCUUUAUUUUUGGCUAUUUUAGUGGGGGUAAUUGCUCGCGAGCAUUUCGUCAUUGUGGACUGCAGGGCAAAUAAGUUACUCCUUAUACCACGUUAAGACUGCACUGUUUGUUCUGCUGCUAUUUUUUUAUUUUAUUACUCAGUGAUCAUCUGUAUUGGAUUUGUCUCUUUUUGUUUUGUUGCCCCACGCUCAUGUUGGUGGCUUAAAGGAAGGCUAGUUCAUGGAGGAACACUCAAUAUCUGGUACCUGGGAAGAUUAAGUUUUUGUUCCCUGUUUGACUGUAUUGAUUUGAGUAUUUAUUGAGAUCUUUCAGUUUCCUCCUUGAUUAAAUUUGCUGGUUUUUGUAAUUUGAUUUGAACCCUGAUUUUUCGUUUGUUUGUUUUCAUUUUUUUCCCCUUUCGGUUUUGUUCUUUUUUUGAACUCUUUGAGUCAUUGUGACUAGGUUCAUGAGCUUGUGGUUUUCAACCUAGCGGAGUUCCUGCCUCUCUGAACUUUUGUGGCCAGUAAAUGGUCCAUACUUGUCAUUCAUGGUUUGAACUUGAUCCAAUGCAAAUUGUUGAAUCGUAUGUGUGUUUUGAUUAAUUGUGUUUUUUAUACUCUUGGUUGUUUUUGUUUAUUUCAGGAGCUGAAGGCCUCCAGUGAGGGAAGCUAGCUGUUUUGACCCUGUGGUGGUGGUGUUUGUCUCACAGAGUGUUUUUGCCGUGACCAUUGCAUCCCUCUCACUUAGUGUGCGUGUGUGGCGUGAGUAUGUGUGUUUGCGUGGAGCAUACUUGGGUAAGUGGUGUGUCUUAAGAUACUCACUGUGCAGCUAGCCACCCUACUGGUAAGCCUCAGCCUGAAAGUAUUUUAUUUAAUUUCUGCCUGGUCAACAGUUUUCUAUAUUUUAACUAAUUAUUCUUAUUGUGAAAUAAAAGUAUUUUUGUAUUUAUA